rnacentral:rRNA from 1 species
GACGAACGCUGGCGGCGUGCCUAAUACAUGCAAGUUGAGCGCUGAAGGUUGGUACUUGUACCAACUGGAUGAGCAGCGAACGGGUGAGUAACGCGUGGGGAAUCUGCCUUUGAGCGGGGGACAACAUUUGGAAACGAAUGCUAAUACCGCAUAAAAACUUUAAACACAAGUUUUAAGUUUGAAAGAUGCAAUUGCAUCACUCAAAGAUGAUCCCGCGUUGUAUUAGCUAGUUGGUGAGGUAAAGGCUCACCAAGGCGAUGAUACAUAGCCGACCUGAGAGGGUGAGCGGCCACAUUGGGACUGAGACACGGCCCAAACGCCUACGGGAGGCAGCAGUAGGGAAUCUUCGGCAAGGGACGAAAGUCUGAGCGAGCAACGCCGAGUGAGGGAAGAAGGUUGUCGGAUCGUAAAACUCGGUUGGUAGAGAAGAACGUUGGUGAGAGUGGAAAGCUCAUCAAGUGACGGUAACUACCCAGAAAGGGACGGCUAACUACGUG